AUUGAGCGCUGGCGGCAUGCCUUACACAUGCAAGUCGAACGGCAGCGGACCUUCGGGUGCCGGCGAGUGGCGAACGGGUGAGUAAUAUAUCGGAACGUACCUUUCAGUGGGGGAUAACGUAGCGAAAGUUACGCUAAUACCGCAUAUUCUGUGAGCAGGAAAGCAGGGGAUCGCAAGACCUUGCGCUGAUUGAGCGGCCGAUAUCAGAUUAGCUAGUUGGUGAGGUAAAGGCUCACCAAGGCGACGAUCUGUAGCGGGUCUGAGAGGAUGAUCCGCCACACUGGAACUGAGACACGGUCCAGACUCCUACGGGAGGCAGCAGUGGGGAAUUUUGGACAAUGGGCGCAAGCCUGAUCCAGCCAUGCCGCGUGAGUGAAGAAGGCCUCGGUUGUAA
rnacentral:rRNA from 1 species